rnacentral:SRP_RNA from 1 species
GCCAACCAGGGGGCCCUGUAAUCCAAGCUACUGGGAGGCUAGAAUUUGUGGAUGGUUUGAGGUUGGGAGUUCUGCUGUGCAGUGCUACKCGUUGAACCGGCGUCCGCACUAAGCUUGGCGUCAACAUGGGUAUCUUGGAGGAGUCCGAGGCAUCCAGGUUGUCUAACGAGAUAUGCAAUAGAUCUAGGGAAAAAAAUCAAGCAGUCUAAAGUAUCCGCGGCCCUGCGACGAUAAAAAAAUGUAGUUUCUAAAAAUUGUAAUUACUACAUUCCCUCAGUAUUAAAAUGGUCAUAAAAAUGUUU